rnacentral:rRNA from 1 species
AUUGAACGCUGGCGGCAGGCCUAACACAUGCAAGUCGAGCGGAGCGGCGGACGGGUGGGUAAUGCCUAGGAAUCUGCCUGGUAGUGGGGGCUAACGUCCGGAAACGGGCGCUCAUACCGCAUACUAUCAGGUGGGCCUCGGUCGGAUUAGCUAGUUGGUGGGGUAAAGGCCUACCAAGGCGAAGAUCCGUAACUGGUCUGAGAGGAUGAUCAGUCAAACUGGAACUGAGACACGGUCCAGACUCCUACGGGAGGCAGCAGGGGGGAAUAUUGGAGAAUGGGCGAAAGCCUGAUCCAGCCAUGCCGCGUGUGUGAAGAAGGUCUGCGGAUCGUAAAGCACUUUAAGUUGAGAGGCGUUACCAACAGAAUAAGCACCGGCUAACUUCGUGCCAGCAGCCGCGGUAAUAC